rnacentral:rRNA from 1 species
GACGAACGCUGGCGGCGUGCUUAACACAUGCAAGUCGAACGGGCCUGUCUUCUUUUUUGGGGGUGGGUUGAGUGGCGAACGGGUGAGUAUCACGUGAGUAACCUGCCCUUCGGUCCUGGAUAACCGCUUGAAAGGGCGGCUAAUACGGGGUGGACCGGUUGGUCCGCAUGGGCUGGUCGGGAUAGAUUCACUGUUUUUGGUGUUUCGGCGGGGGAUGGGCUCGCGGCCUAUCAGCUUGUUGGUGGGGUGAUGGCCUACCAAGGCGGUGACGGGUAGCCGGCCUGAGAGGGUGGGCGGCCACACUGGGACUGAGAUACGGCCCAGACUCCUGCGGGAGGCAGCAGUGGGGGGUAUUGCACAAUGGGCGGAAGCCUGAUGCAGCGACGUCGCGUGAGGGAUGGAGGCCUUCGGGUUGUGAACCUCUGUUUCCGGUGGUGAAGGCCCUGUCCGUGUGGUGGGGUUGACGGUAGCCGGGGAUGAAGCGCCGGCUAACUACGUG